GUACUAUGUAACUAUAUGACUGUAACUAUAGAGACUCUAUUAAACUACAGGUACUAUAGAGAUUAUAUUAAACUACAGGUACUAUGUAACUAUAUGACUGUAACUAUAGAGAUUCUAUUAAACUACAGGUACUAUAGAGACUCUAUUAAACUACAGGUACUAUAGAGAUUAUAUUAAACUACAGGUACUAUAGAGAUUAUAUUAAACUACAGGUACUAUAGAUAUUAUAUUAAACUACAGGUACUAUAGAGAUUCUAUUAAACUACAGGUACUAUAGAUAUUAUAUUAAACUACAGGUACUAUAGAGACUCUAUUAAACUACAGGUACUAUAGAGAUUAUAUUAAACUACAGGUACUAUAGAGAUUAUAUUAAACUACAGGUACUAUAGAUAUUAU